rnacentral:snoRNA from 1 species
ACCCACUGGUUCCUUUUCCUAUAGGAUCUGAACAUUGGUCUUGGUGGCCAUAAAACGAGGAAAAGUAAUACUGAAGUUGGCCUUACUGUGUUAUAUUCUGGUAUAAAGCAUGCGGGCUAUUUUCAAAAAAGG